GGGGUUGUGGUUCAGUGGUAGAGUGCUUGCUUAGAAUGCGUGAGGCCCUGGGUUUGAUCCUCAGCACCACUU
rnacentral:tRNA from 1 species